rnacentral:rRNA from 1 species
GCCUUGCCGGGCGUCGACCGGCGAAUGGGUGAGUAACGCGUAUCCAACCUGCCCCUGUCCCGGGAAUAGCCCUUGGAAACGAGGAUUAACGCCCGAUUUGCGGCAUCAUCGCAUGAUGUAGCCGUGAAAUGCCUAAGGACGGGGAUGGGGAUGCGUCUGAUUAGCCAGCUGGCGGGGUAACGGCCCACCAGGGCUUCGAUCAGUAGGGGUUCUGAGAGGAAGGUCCCCCACACUGGAACUGAGACACGGUCCAGACUCCUACGGGAGGCAGCAGUGAGGAAUAUUGGUCAAUGGCCGAGAGGCUGAACCAGCCAAGUAGCGUGAGGGAUGAAGGCCCUAUGGGUUGUAAACCUCUUUUAUGCGGGGAUAAAGAGCGCCACGUGUGACAUGUUGCAGGUACCGCAUGAAUAAGGACCGGCUAAUUCCGUGCCAGCAGCCGCGGUAGUACGGAAGGUCCGGGCGUUAUCCGGAUUUAUUGGGUUUAAAGGGAGCGCAGGCGGAGCGCCAAGUCAGCCGUCAAAUGGCUCAGCUCAACUGAGUCCUGCGGUUGAAACUGGCGCCCUUGGGUGCACAAGAGGCAGGCGGAACUCGUGGUGUAGCGGUGAAAUGCAUAGAUAUCACGAAGAACUCCGAUUGCGAAGGCAGCUUGCUGGGGUGUUACCGACGCUCAUGCUCGAAGGCGCAGGUAUCAAACAGGAUUAGAUACCCUGGUAGUCCGCGCAGUAAACGAUGGAUGCCCGCGGUGCGGCCGUUUUAAGGUUACGCCGCCAAGCGAAAGCGUUAAGCAUCCCACCUGGGGAGUACGCCCGGCAMSGGUGAAACUCAAAGGAAUUGACGGGGGCCCGCACAAGCGGAGGAACAUGUGGUUUAAUUCGAUGAUACGCGAGGAACCUUACCCGGGCUUGAAAGGCAGCGGACGGGAGGCAGAGACGCCUUCUUUCUUCGGACCGCUUCCUAGGUGCUGCAUGGUUGUCGUCAGCUCGUGCCGUGAGGUGUCGGCUUAAGUGCCAUAACGAGCGCAACCCUUUCCGCCGGUUGCCAUCGGGUAAUGCCGGGCACUCCGUCGGUACUGCCGCCGCAAGGCGUGAGGAAGGUGGGGAUGACGUCAAAUCAGCACGGCCCUUACGUCCGGGGCCACACACGUGUUACAAUGGGGGGCACAGCGAGCUGGAUGCAGGCGACUGCAUUCGAAUCAAUAAAUCCCCUCCCAGUUCGGACUGGAGUCUGCAACCCGACUCCACGAAGCUGGAUUCGCUAGUAAUCGCGCAUCAGCCAUGGCGCGGUGAAUACGUUCCCGGGCCUUGUACACACCGCCCGUCAAGCCAUGAAAGCCGGGGGCG